rnacentral:rRNA from 1 species
AUUGAACGCUGGCGGCAGGCCUAACACAUGCAAGUCGAGCGGAUGAAGGGAGCUUGCUCCUGGAUUCAGCGGCGGACGGGUGAGUAAUGCGUAGGAAUCUGCCUGGUAGUGGGGGAUAACGUCCGGAAACGGGCGCUAAUACCGCAUACGUCCUGAGGGAGAAAGAGGGGGAUCUUCGGAACUCACGCUAUCAGAUGAUCCUAGGUCGGAUUAGCUAGUUGGUGGGGUAAAGGCCUACCAAGGCGACGAUCCGUAACUGGUCUGAGAGGAUGAUCAGUCACACUGGAACUGAGACACGGUCCAGACUCCUACGGGAGGCAGAAGUGGGGAAUAUUGGACAAGGGGCGAAAGCCUGAUCCAGCCAGGCCGCGUGUGUGAAGAAGGUCUUCGGAUUGUAAAGCCCUUUAAGUUGGGAGGAAGGGCAGUAAGGUAAUACCUUGAUGUUUUGACGGUACCAACAGAAUAAGCACCGGCUAACUUCGUG